GCGGCGAACAGCCCGGGACGGCCGGGCACCGGCCGCCAGCCGGUGACCCGCGCGCCGCCGUUCAGCUCGGUGUCGCCGCUCC
rnacentral:tRNA from 1 species